UAAUUGGUAGAAAGUGGAAGUAAGUGUCUUUCAGAUCCACUCUGGAGCACAGCGAGGAAGAUUUGGCCAGCCUGAUGGAGUUCAUAGAUCGCUGCUACGACACGCUCGUCAUGGGGAAGCCAAACCAAACCUCAACCCCUGCCGGAGCUAAAGCUAAGAGGCUCCGGGAUGAUAAUUCAUCUGAAGUUAUUUCUCCACCUGGGAACGACUCGACGGAUGUUCUCUCUAUAGAUAAGAAAUUGUCCAGUCUCGAUGCUCGUCUGAGCCUGCUGGAAGUGCUCCAUCAGGAAUUCCAGGCUAUACGCCAGUCCCUGGAAUUCAGCCAGCAGCAGGUGGAGAAGCUGACGGCGGAGAACACGAGCCUCAGAGAGUCGGUAAAAUCCCUCACCAAGGGGUUCAUCCGACUAUCAGAGGAAAAUAAAAAAAAUUAAAGAAACUGUGAUUGAUCUCCAGUCCCGGAGCAUGAGAGACAACCUGGUGUUCUCUGGAAUCCCGGAACAGACCGAGGAAGACCCUGAGUCGACGGUGAAGAAUUUCAUCCAGACUCACCUGAAGCUCCCAGAGGAGACCGUUAAAAACAUCGCUUUCCACUGACUGCAUCGUCUCGGAGGGAAACGACCCAGAGAGCACAGGCCGAGACCCAUCAUAGCGAAGUUUGCUAACUACAAGCAGAAGGAGCAGGUGAAGCGUCAGGGCCGGGAGCUGAAGGGAACCAACUUCGGCGUUAACGAUCAGUUCCCUAAAGAGAUCCUGGAUCGGCGCAGAGCUCUGUUCCCCAUCAGGAAGAAAGCUAUAGCUGAAGGCUCUCGUGCUGUCAUCGCGGUGGACAAACUAUUUAUCAACGGUCAACUGUACCGUGACUGGAACACCACUCCGUGGCUCUUCUGAUGUCAGUUGUCAGCCUUAGAUGAUGAGGUCCGGUUACCAGGACCGCUACUCUGCAGCUUGCUGGUCCCAUCCUGCAGCUCUUCCACACUAUCCUGCUCUCAACAGACCAAAUCAAGAAAAACUAAGCGGGAUGCUACUGUGGAUCUGCUGCAGUAUCUGGAGAGGUCAGGAACGGUUCUUGGAACAGAUCAGAAGAUACCAAGACCUGACCAUUGCCAUGCUCCAGAACAUCCAGAGGAUGGAUGAAAACCUUGGUUAGACUGAUGGGACACAUGGUUUCUGUGCUGGAGCAAUUGUCCCAGAAAUAAACUGCAUUGUCCACUGCUUUUGCCCUUUUCUAGAAAAAAAAUUCUUCUACUUUUUAGUUAUUUAACUUCACCUGUUUUGUAUUUUUACUCAUGCACAUCUGCUGCUGGCCCACUGGAGACCGGAGAUUUGGCAACAAGAAAACAUAACACACAUUGGAUUACAUGAAUGCCGGAGUAACAUAGAUCAUGCAAAGUACAAGCCAACAUUGACACCGAUUCAUAAGUUUACGGUUAAGGUACAAGGCUCUGGCAUUAAGUAUACUACAUAUAUGUCCAUCAGAUGUCACUGUUCUUCUGCAUUUGAAGUAUGCAAGAAUAACAAGGAAGCUCCGGCUUGUCAGCAUAUGGAUGUGGUACAUUAAGAAUGUUGGUUUUUUUGUGAGAUAAGGUGAAGUUUAACUUAAUUACAUUGUGUUGUGUGUAUUAGUUCACAUUAAAGUGAAAAACGAGUCAAAGAAAUGGCCAUUAUAGCUAUAAGUAUUUUAUGAAGACAAAAUAAGCUAUCAUUUAAUAUCUCUAUCAAACCUUUGAACCACUCUUCAUCUUUAGGAAUCUAUACCAUCAUUGUGGAAAUGCUGAACUAUGUUUAAAUUUUUUUUCUUUGAGACUGUCUUGACACACAAAAAAGAUCACAGAUACACUUUGAAAGUUGCUGGAGAGUUCUUAAUAAAACACUUGCUGACAAAUCCCUGAAUCUGGUUGUUAGCAGAAUCGUUCAUGGCCUUUCAAUUGCACUGAAGAACACAGAAUGUUCUGUUUUUCACGGAAUGUGGUUAGAAGAAAAUUUCCAACA